UCUUCCUUCUGGAAGCCUUGAGCUGAGUCCUCCUUCGGGACUCCUCCCACUGAUGCCUCCCAUCAUGUACCCACGGGAUGCUGGUAGAUGUUUGUGGUCAGCUUUCUUUUGUUCCCGUGAGGUGGAUUCGAGACUCUGAGAAAGAAACACCCCUUCUCAAUUCCACCACAAGUUCUGCCUCUUCAACCCUCAAAAAAUCCUAAUUGUCAAGAAAUCACAUCUUAUGCAUUUUGGUGCUCCACAACACUUCCUGAAGGCCUGUGUGAGGCAGGAGCUCAAGAUCUACUUGUUCACUGCAUGGUUGUUUGUGAUCUGUCACUCAGUGAGUGACCAAGGGAAACUACCUCUGAAGAGAGCAGACACCGACAUUUCCUUCCCUCCCCGUAGAUGAAUGCUGCAAUGCAUUUCAAGGGGUAGAGUCUAAGUCCCUUUCCUUUCCUUUCCUCUCCCCUUUCCUUUCUUUCCUCUCCCCUUCCCUUCCCUUCCCUUUCCUUUUCCUUUCCUUUUUCCUUUGUGAGACAGUCUCCCUCUGUUACCUAGGCUGGAGUGCAGUGGCACCAUCUCGGCUCACUGCAACCUCCGCCUCCAGGGUUCAAGUGAUUCUUGUGCCUCAGCCACCCAGGUGGCUGGGAUUACAUGCAUGCACCACCACAUCUGGCUAAUGUUUGUAUUUUUAGGAGAGACGGGGUUUCACCAUGUUGGCCAGACUGGUCUUGAACUCCUGGCCUCAAGUGAUCUGCCUGCCUCGACCUCCCAAAGUGCUGGGAUUACAGGUGUGAGCCACUGCGCCCAGCAAAUUCCCUUUUCUUUGAAUUGGGGCUGACCUUAGUGACUUAAGAGUGGAAGGGACAUCUUGUGUCUUCCCGGGCAUGGAGUUAAGAAGCCUUACGGGUCUCAUCUAGCUCUCUUGGAACUUUGCUCUCGAGACACUCCUUCUCAGACCCCAGCCCCCAUGCUAAGUGGACUCCUGAGCCACCUGGAAAGGCCGUGCAUCAACUCUCCAGUUGAUUGUCCCAGCUGAGUUCUCAGCAGACAAUUAGCAUCACCUACCGGCCACAUAAAUGAGCCAUCUUGUAUUUGCAUCCAGUUGAGUCUUGCGCUAACUGUAGCACUAACCAAUAUCUAACAACAAUCACCUAAGAGAUCCCACAUGAAAACUGCUGAGCUGAGCCCAGUGAACUCGCAGAACCAUAAGACACAAAAAUCAAUUGUCCAGUGAUGAAGUGUUGGGGCCAUUUGUAAUGCAGAAAUAGAUAACCGGAAGAGUGACUAAGCCAGGAAGAGAACCUGGAAGAAGUUGUCUUGAUCACCGAGGAGUCUUACUGGUGAGAAAGCACUGCCCAGCUGACCUACUCUGCCAUAUUCCUGAUCCAGAUGCGCAAAGGGCUGUGGAGUGAACAAUGCCCCAUUUCCAGGUGAAUGGCAAUGGAGUAGUUGUCCGAGGGUACUCAAUACUCAAGAGUCAGCUGAUCAUGUCCUUAGAUGCACCAGAAAUGAUGGAAUACCUGAAGCUGGGAAUUUAUAAAGAAUAGAGGUGUAUUUGGCUCACAGUUCUGCAAGCUCUACAGGAAGCAUGGCAUCAGCCAGGGCUCAGCUUCUGGAAGAGUAGAAUAACGCUUAAUCACCAUUAUCACUGGAGAUGGUACCAAGAUGAAUCUGCGUAAAUGAACCUUACUAGAUACCCCUUAUCUAACCUAUCUAUAGUUUCCCCCUUAUAUUUACUUUCCCACAGUUUACAACCCCUAGAAGCCCAAACCCAUUUUUCUUUGUCUAGUUACCUCUCCACAAUUUGUCACCCUUUGUUAAAAUGAUAUAAACUCUCAGGCCUAACCACUGCUUUAGGUUUCACUUCUUUUCUGUGA
rnacentral:lncRNA from 1 species